rnacentral:tRNA from 1 species
GCCUUCGUGGUGUAGUGGUCAGCACACUCGACUCGUAAUCGAGAGGUCCACGGUUCGAUUCCCGGAGAAGGCG